rnacentral:rRNA from 1 species
GAUGAACGCUGGCGGCGUGCCUAAUACAUGCAAGUCGAGCGAACGGACGAGAAGCUUGCUUUUCUGAUGUUAGCGGCGGACGGGUGAGUAACACGUGGAUAACCUACCUAUAAGACUGGGAUAACUUCGGGAAACCGGGGCUAAUACCGGAUAAUAUUUCGAACCGCAUGGUUCAAAAGUGAAAGACGGUCUUGCUGUCACUUAUAGAUGGAUCCGCGCUGCAUUAGCUAGUUGGUAAGGUAACGGCUUACCAAGGCAACGAUGCAUAGCCGACCUGAGAGGGUGAUCGGCCACACUGGAACUGAGACACGGUCCAGACUCCUACGGGAGGCAGCAGUAGGGAAUCUUCCGCAAUGGGCGAAAGCCUGACGGAGCAACGCCGCGUGAGUGAUGAAGGUCUUCGGAUCGUAAAACUCUGUUAUUAGGGAAGAACAUAUGUGUAAGUAACUGUGCACAUCUUGACGGUACCUAAUCAGAAAGCCACGGCUAACUACGUG